GUACGUAGGGGGCGAGCGUUGUCCGGAAUGAUUGGGCGUAAAGGGCGCGUAGGCGGCCUGUUAAGUCUGGAGUGAAAGUCCUGUUUUCAAGAUGGGAAUUGCUUUGGAUACUGAUGGGCUUGAGUGCAGGAGAGGUUAUCGGAAUUCCCGGUGUAGCGGUGAAAUGCGUAGAGAUCGGGAGGAACACCAGUGGCGAAGGCGGGUAACUGGACUGCAACUGACGCUGAGGCGCGAAAGCGUGGGUAGCAAACAGGAUUAGAUACCCUGGUAGUCCACGCUGUAAACGAUGGAUACUAGGUGUAGGAGGUAUCGACCCCUUCUGUGCCGGAGUUAACACAAUAAGUAUCCCACCUGGGGAGUACGGCCGCAAGGCUGAAACUCAAAGGAAUUGACGGGG
rnacentral:rRNA from 1 species